UACGUAGGCAGCAAGCGUUGUUCGGAGUUACUGGGCGUAAAGGGUGCGUAGGCGGCUUCUUAAGUCUGGUGUGAAAUCUCCCGGCUCAACUGGGAGGGUGCGCCGGAUACUGAGGGGCUAGAGUGUGGGAGAGGAAAGUGGAAUUCCUGGUGUAGCGGUGAAAUGCGUAGAUAUCAGGAGGAACACCGGUGGUGUAAACGGCUUACUGGACCAUAACUGACGCUGAGGCACGAAAGCGUGGGUAGCAAACAGG
rnacentral:rRNA from 1 species